AAGCACCAAAGGAGGCAAGUGUUCCGGGUCCAUCAGGCAGAUCCAGAGGAUGUGACUGACUGGCGAUGGUGGGAGUGGAGCAGAGAGGCUUUCCAGGCUCCUCCGUGCCUCACGAUUGCAAACCUGGCUCCAUCCUUCUCUGUGCUGACAGGCAGCAUCAUCACGAUAGGAAGCAGCAUCCGCAGAAACUUGCUUUCCUUCUCUGCCUCCUUUCCUGUGGUUCAACUUUCUCUGGGACAGCGAAUGCUCAUUAUUAUCGACUGCUGAUUAGACAGACACACAUCGAGAAUCA